UACGGGGGGGGCAAGCGUUGUUCGGAAUUACUGGGCGUAAAGGGCUCGUAGGCGGCCAACUAAGUCAGACGUGAAAUCCCUCGGCUUAACCGGGGAACUGCGUCUGAUACUGGAUGGCUUGAGUUUGGGAGAGGGAUGCGGAAUUCCAGGUGUAGCGGUGAAAUGCGUAGAUAUCUGGAGGAACACCGGUGGCGAAGGCGGCAUCCUGGGACCAACACUGACGCUGAGGAGCGAAAGCCAGGGGAGCAAACGGGG
rnacentral:rRNA from 1 species